rnacentral:rRNA from 1 species
CGGACGGGUGAGUAAUACUUAGGAAUCUGCCCAUUAGUGGGGGACAACUCGAGGAAACUCGAGCUAAUACCGCAUACGCCCUACGGGGGAAAGCGGAGGACCUUUCGGGGCUUCGCGCUAAUGGAUGAGCCUAAGUCGGAUUAGCUUGUUGGUGAGGUAAAGGCUCACCAAGGCGACGAUCCGUAGCUGGUCUGAGAGGACGAUCAGCCACACUGGGACUGAGACACAGCCCAG